GAUGAACGCUGGCGGCGUGCCUAAUCCAUGCAAGUCGAGCGAACGGACGAGAAGCUUGCUUCUCUGAUGUUAGCGGCGGACGGGUGAGUAACACGUGGAUAACCUACCUAUAAGACUGGGAUAACUUCGGGAAACCGGAGCUAAUACCGGAUAAUAUUUUGAACCGCAUGGUUCAAAAGUAAAAGACGGUCUUGCUGUCACUUAUAGAUGGAUCCGCGCUGCAUUAGCUAGUUGGUAAGGUAACGGCUUACCAAGGCAACGAUGCAUAGCCGACCUGAGAGGGUGAUCGGCCACACUGGAACUGAGACACGGUCCAGACUCCUACGGGAGGCAGCAGUAGGGAAUCUUCCGCAAUGGGCGAAAGCCUGACGGAGCAACGCCGCGUGAGUGAUGAAGGUCUUCGGAUCGUAAAACUCUGUUAUUAGGGAAGAACAUAUGUGUAAGUAACUGUGCACAUCUUGACGGUACCUAAUCAGAAAGCCACGGCUAACUACGUG
rnacentral:rRNA from 1 species